rnacentral:rRNA from 1 species
UACGUAGGGUGCGAGCGUUGUCCGGAAUUAUUGGGCGUAAAGGGCUCGUAGGCGGUCUGUUGCGUCGGGAGUGAAAACUCAGGGCUUAACCCUGAGCCUGCUUCCGAUACGGGCAGACUAGAGGUAUGCAGGGGAGAACGGAAUUCCUGGUGUAGCGGUGAAAUGCGCAGAUAUCAGGAGGAACACCGGUGGCGAAGGCGGCACUCUGGGCUGGAACUGACGCUGAGGAGCGAAAGCGUGGGGAGCAAACAGG